CAAAUUUUCACCAAGGAACUUAAAUUGACAAAAUGCUAAGAGAUCAAAAAGCUCACACAAACCAAAGUCAAAACACCUGAACUCUCUAUUUUUCUAAUCUACAAUGCUAACAUUUGUCUUGUAAUAUUUCUAGCUCUUAUCUCUUGUAUAUGUCCGAUGUACUUGGACUACACCUACUUUUUCUAUUAUGAAUAAAAUUUCAUUUACGUAUAAAAAAUUA